CUGAUAGUAGGAAUGAUAGAAAAUGAGUGUUUCUUAUUAAUUAAUAAAAUUAAUCACUGCUCAAUUACAUAAAUAGUUUGCGCGUAGUUCAGUAAUUAUGUUUUUUUGUUUUUAUUCAAGGUCAGUUGAUAAAUUCAAUCCGACGAGCACGAUAGUCCGUUGCCCUUGGCCCUCCUCCAAAUAAUAGCUCCACCCCUCGAAAGAUGAAUCAGAAACGUCACAGUCGCUUAAUUUAAUUUUAGUUCGUGACUCUCUACGUGUUUCUUUCUCUUCCUCUUUCGCGAGUGCCCCUUCUUUGUCCUCUUAAAUACAAACGGGCGCCAGUCGCGAUUUCGUACGGUUCUUCAUCACGUAACGAGCAUACGUAACACGCUCGACGAGGAAUACAAUUACGACUAUUUGCUAAACUUGUCCUUACAGAAGUGAUUUUUCCAAUGAUGCGUAUUUGUCAUCGAAACGAGAGAGAAUUAUAUUAGCUUGUCUGUGGACAAUAACAGGCAUAUCAUCAUCGAUGCUCUCCUCGAUGCGAGAAACGGGACACCUACGUAACCGACGAUACAACGUGUUGAACGUGAACAUUAGUGCUGAGAACUAGGUUACUGCGAACCGCUACGCGCGGUUGGACUCUCUCGUAUCCCGACUGCAAAUUACCGAUCCUUGGAUGGCUCCUUUCUUCUAUUACCCAGAUGAAAAACCACGCAUAUAUUAAAAUUUCGUUCGAAAUAAUCGCGGCAUCUGCGAAAUAUAUGAUAUGCAGCGACAACAAUUUUAUUUAUCGUAGCGUAGAAUUUAAUCUCUCCUUAAUUUAUCUGCGGACGUGAUAUACAUCUUUUUUAUGUCGCUUUAAAAAAUUAUAUAUUAAAAGAAACAUUAUGCGGGAUCAUGCAGAACUUGUUUUUAUCCGCGAACGUGCGGUAUUGAUGUUUUUUUUUCUCUGUUGCUGGUGUGUCUCGUUAAAAACCAACAGAAGCCACGCGAAACGAUAAUGUAAUGGGUCAGCAAUCAUCACGGUCACAUCGGCACGCCUGUCUGUGUGCCUUUCACACAACCAUUCGCGUUAUUGAAAUUUACAUAUUCUUCGCGUAAACAUGUGUCUUUAACGCCCAGGUACCUAAGUAACGGAUACACUAGAAGAUGUCACAAAGACGCUGUCGUAGCAAUAAAAUGUCAAGGUAAAAAAAAAAAAAAUAAAAAAAUGGCAAAUCAGCGAGUCGAAUCGUACACGAGAAUUAAGAAAUGACGAAUAAAUUUUGCAUGUCGAGCGAGCGAGACCGGCUAUCGCGACGACGGCUAUCGAGACCAUCGGUUUUAUCCUCAAGAGCCUUAAUUCCCGCCAAUUUGUGCCGACACGCGUCCGACAGUCAUGCUUUGUUACUUUUCCAAGACGUGGAAACCGCUCGUGCGCUUUAACUGCAUCCGAGGCGCUUCUCUCUCUUGGAUGAAUUAUAUAUAAAGACAAUUUUAACAACCUUCUCGCACGAGUCUCAUUCAAGAGCGUUGAAUCUCUGGGUGUUCUCAAGAGUGUCGGCGAUAUCUCUUCUCCUUUCUCGCCUAAGGGCGAUCAGAGGUAGAGACAGAAUAAUGAUAAUUUAUGGUUUUCAUCGGUAUAUACCGGUUUCAACUUCAGGUAUAUAAAGAUCACUGGGACGGUAUAUUAUAAUGCGGAAUUUUUUCCCAUACGUCCCGCAAAUUUUACUCGAUUCAUACAUUAUGCAAUUAAGUUAAUGCGCGUGACAACACACGAUGACUUGUGUAACGGGCUAUUGACGAUGUAGCUGCUCGCGCGGCGCGAUUGAUUAUAAUCUCAAUAAAAAAUACAUUCCAUGGCACGCGUUCGCGAUCGACCGCUGACUUUCCGACACACUGAUGUCUACGAUAAGAUUAAAGUCAUCACGAAUAGUAUCUCCAACGCAUCUUUUGUUAUUUGUGUGUGCCUAUUAUAUAAAGACAAUAAACUUAAAGUUAUAUUUA